GACGAACGCUGGCGGCGUGCUUAACACAUGCAAGUCGAACGAAGAGCGACGGAAGCUUGCUUCUAUCAAUCUUAGUGGCGAACGGGUGAGUAACGCGUAAUCAACCUGCCCUUCAGAGGGGGACAACAGUUGGAAACGACUGCUAAUACCGCAUACGAUCUAACCUCGGCAUCGAGGAUAGAUGAAAGGUGGCCUCUACAUGUAAGCUAUCACUGAAGGAGGGGAUUGCGUCUGAUUAGCUAGUUGGAGGGGUAACGGCCCACCAAGGCGAUGAUCAGUAGCCGGUCUGAGAGGAUGGACGGCCACAUUGGGACUGAGACACGGCCCAGACUCCUACGGGAGGCAGCAGUGGGGAAUCUUCCGCAAUGGACGAAAGUCUGACGGAGCAACGCCGCGGGAGUGAUGACGGCCUUCGGGUUGUAAAGCUCUGUUAAUCGGGACGAAAGGCCUUCUUGCGAAUAGUGAGAAGGAUUGACGGUACCGGAAUAGAAAGCCACGGCUAACUACGUG
rnacentral:rRNA from 1 species